rnacentral:misc_RNA from 1 species
UAGGAUCACAUAAUAAAAGUCAGCUACAAUUCCAUGCAGUCUCUAUGAGUAACAAGUCCAUUUACAUGGAAAAUCGAUACAUUCAUAAUUCAUGUUCCUUAAAGAUGAAAGCUCCCAUCUGAAAGGUAAUGCUUUAAACUAAGUAUACUAACUAAAGACUUUAUAAAAGGAAGCCCAUUGGCAAAUCAAUUACAGUGCCUAAAACAAUAUUAAGAAAGUUCAAAUUAAACACCAGAACAACGAAAUAAAGAAAAAUCAUAAAACAGACUCAUAUACAUUCCACUAGCUCAUCCUGAUGCUGACUCUGAUGUACUUGCCCCUUGUCUUGGUCUUCUCCGUUCGGGAGGUGGGCCAUCUCUCCGUCUUUCAUAUCUUCUACUCUCGUACUUUGAACUAUUUCUCUGCUUUGGUUGGUAAGUAGGGUAAGUGCAAGAAAUUAUCUCUCCAUUGAUAUAUUUGUCUCCUCCAUAAUCCUUGUUUUUCACAUCUAUAUAUGAGUCUGGCAGUACCCAGAGGACCCCAGGCAAACCCUUAAAUUUCUCAGAGGUAGCUUCGUCAACAGUGCAUUGGAAUCCAGUGUAUGUGGUGGUACUAAAUGCAUACAUAUUCUUCUUUGCCUCUUCCAUGCUGAUACACGAGUGCAGCACAAAUUGAAGGGCAAUACCAAAUAAUUUGUGAAAUAACAACUUAAAGAAAAUAAUUCUUCAGAAAACAAUGAAGCACCACAAAUCUAAUCACUUGCUUCUCAUACAUUCUUAAACCAAGGACAACAUACAAAUAAAACCCAAUCAAUUUCUAUCGAUCAAUGCAAAAAUCUUUUAAAAAAAAUGAACCAAACCUAAGGAAAUGCCCAAUUCUGCUUCACUCAAGUAAAAAUUGCGAGACUUUACCAAUUAAAAAGGAAACCCAUCAAACCAUAGCAUCUAACAACCAACACAAACUCACCAAACUUUAAGUAGAUAGAUUUAAAGAACGAACCUGCCCAAGACAGUGGCGAGAGUGUUGAGGUAAGUAUCAAUCAUCUGCUCCCUGGUAGGUGCAGGGUCCUUGGGAAAUUCCAUCACAAUCAACCAAUGAUUAUAAUCACACCCGGGUAACAUUAUUGUCUCUCUAGAGUCGCUACUGCUACUCCGCUUCGCCGAAUAAUCUGAAUCCACCGCCGCUCGGGUCACCAAUGGCUGAGUUUGCUUCCGACCCCUGACAGAAUGCAGCGGUGGUAGAGCCCAUGAUUGC